rnacentral:rRNA from 1 species
GAUGAACGCUGGCGGCGUGCCUAAUACAUGCAAGUCGAGCGAACAGACGAGAAGCUUGCUUCUCUGAUGUUAGCGGCGGACGGGUGAGUAACACGUGGAUAACCUACCUAUAAGACUGGGAUAACUUCGGGAAACCGGAGCUAAUACCGGAUGAUAUUUUGAACCGCAUGGUUCAAAAGUGAAAGACGGUCUUGCUGUCACUUAUAGAUGGAUCCGCGCUGCAUUAGCUAGUUGGUAAGGUAACGGCUUACCAAGGCAACGAUGCAUAGCCGACCUGAGAGGGUGAUCGGCCACACUGGAACUGAGACACGGUCCAGACUCCUACGGGAGGCAGCAGUAGGGAAUCUUCCGCAAUGGGCGAAAGCCUGACGGAUCAACGCCGCGUGAGUGAUGAAGGUCUUCGGAUCGUAAAACUCUGUUAUUAGGGAAGAACAUAUGUGUAAGUAACUGUACACAUCUUGACGGUACCUAAUCAGAAAGCCACGGCUAACUACGUG